GACUUCCUAUUGGGAGGGGCAAGGCAGGGGCAGACCUGGAAUCCCUUGAUGAGCAUCUCGUCAGAGGCUCUUCCAGCUUGUAAACCUCUCCACACCACUGCUGAAGGUGGCUUCUGGGAAGCUGCAGACAACCCCUGUGAAAGGAUGGUUCGAAUCCAAAGGGGUCAUGACCCACAGGUUGUGAACUGCUGGUCUAGAGGUAACAUUUGGAGUGAGAACACUGGUUCUUCUGACUGGCAGCUAUACGGACAGAGCCUUCAUCCAGCAGCUGGUGGAAGUAGAAGCAGACACCCACAACUAAUCACCGAACUGAACUGGAAUCCAGAUACAGAGAAGGAUGAGUGAAGAGCACAGGGGUCCAGACUAGGCUGGUGAAACCCAC
rnacentral:lncRNA from 1 species